rnacentral:tRNA from 1 species
GUUUCCGUGGUGUAGUGGUUAUCACGCGCGUCUCACACACGCGAGGUCCCCGGUUCGAUCCCGGGCGGAAACA